rnacentral:pre_miRNA from 1 species
UCUCAUGGAUGAGCAAAGAAAGUGGUUCCUUGAGAUGGAAUCUACUCCCGGUGAGGACGCUGUGAA